rnacentral:rRNA from 1 species
UACAGAGGGUGCAAGCGUUAAUCGGAAUUACUGGGCGUAAAGCGCGCGUAGGUGGUUUGUUAAGUUGGAUGUGAAAUCCCCGGGCUCAACCUGGGAACUGCAUCCAAAACUGGCAAGCUAGAGUAUGGUAGUGGUGGUGGAAUUUCCUGUGUAGCGGUGAAAUGCGUAGAUAUAGGAAGGAACACCAGUGGCGAAGGCGACCACCUGGACUGAUACUGACACUGAGGUGCGAAAGCGUGGGGAGCAAACAGG